ACGGCCUUCACACUGCACGCGGUUGCGGCCCUUCAGUGAGUUUCAGGAGCGGUGCAUCUGCUGCAGUGCAGCUACAUACCGAGUCUAUUUUUGCUGUGCUGCACGCACUGAAUUAAAGUGACACUGAAUUUUUCACGGUAAAAAUCAACAUGGAUUGACACGGAAAUGCAGUAAUUUCACAAUAAAUGUAUACUUAUUAAAUCCACUGUGUUUCACACGCAACACAUGAGAUUAUUGGCUAGGUUUAAAACAAGAAAAGGAGUUCGUUUAGAUAAAGAAGGCAACAUAAUAUAUACACUUUAAUGGAAGCAAAAUAAAUAAAUAAGUACAUUAAGACCCGUGGGAUCGCUUGUAAUAAAUAUUUAAAUGCAAAAGGCGAGAGUUGACUGUUUCCCUGUUUUAAUAUUUAAAUAUUUGCGAUAUCCUAACAAGAAAAGUAGCCUAUUUGUUGUUUUUAAAUGUUUUGCCGCUUGCUUAAGCAGAUGCGUUUUCUUAAAGACAAAUUUUCAGUUGGCAUACACUAAAAUAUUGAAUUGCAUAUUACGUUGAAAAAUUAUAACAAUUAAGUUGAAAAAAUCUAGAAUUCUUACACUUCACAAAACAUAAUGUCCCUUAAAAUAAAUUCAAAUAAAUAUAACUAUGUAGCACAGAAUAUAAUACUGUGCUUGACAAUGUCUUCAUCUUCACCAUCUACAAACAAAACCUGUGACGCAACACAUAUUCGUCCUUUUCAUUGGCUCUAUUUCUUAGUAAGCCUACCUUGUUCCAAUUUGCAUACUGUACCCAAUUUAUAGCACCUCUCACAAAGACAACUUAUUCAUUCUACAAGCAACAUCGUCUCAAGAAAAACCUUUACCAACCACUUAUCAAGAUUAUGGCUUCCUACACCUCACCAUCAAAAAUACCCAAAAAACACCACCCUGAGACUGAAUCAAUUCAUGACCGCCUUCAACUGAUUGCUUACAAAUGCCAAGAUCCAUCUGUCAACCCCAUCGAAACUGCACAGCAACUUUGUAAUCUAGGCACUGAAAUCAUGAAAAUCAUGUCACGCUGGCACAACCAAAACAAGGCUCUCCAGCAAUGUGUCACUACACUUCGUUCAGAGCUACAAGACACAAAAAAAAACUCUCAGAAGCCCUAACUUCUGCAGAAAUCAAUGCUGCUGCCCAAUGCUUUUUCAAAGAUGAACAAUGUGACAUGUCCACACAGACGGAGCAUGCCCCUUCAACACUAGCUGAACACUUACCUGAGAAUAACAGCAAACUAGAAAUACAAGUUGCAACAAAGUCUUCUCCAAAACCAAAUAAAGAUCUACAGAAUGCUUAACCAUACACUCAUUAUAUUGUGUCUACACUUUUAAUGCUUCACUGUAUUUUACUUUUGAAACUACACAUUUUUAUCCAUCCAUUUACUCUUAAACCACAUUAUUUUCUUUUAGCUCUUCUUUAUAAAACUUUUUAAAAUACAAUUCAACAUACUAUAUGCAUA